rnacentral:rRNA from 1 species
UAAAGGGCGCGUAGGCGGACUCUUAAGUCGGGGGUGAAAGCCCAGGGCUCAACCCUGGAAUUGCCUUCGAUACUGGGAGUCUUGAGUUCGGAAGAGGUUGGUGGAACUGCGAGUGUAGAGGUGAAAUUCGUAGAUAUUCGCAAGAACACCAGUGGCGAAGGCGGCCAACUGGUCCGAAACUGACGCUGAGGCGCGAAAGCGUGGGGAGCAAACAGGAUUAGAUACCCUGU